CACAGUGUGACCUCAUGGCAACUACAGUAACUGAAGACCUGCGUCGCCAGACAGGAAGCAGCUUUGAAGUCCUGCCAGAAAACAUGUCUGAGCUGAGGGUUGUUCUGCUGGGGAGCAGCUGGACUGAGAAAAAAGAAGUAGGAAAUCUCUUACUGGGACAGACUGUGUUUAGCAGUAAGACUAAAUGCUUUGUGAGAAUUGGUGGACCACUGGGGGACAAAAAAAUUGUUCUUAUCAUCACCCCCUACCUGCCUCCUCUCAACACCUUCCAAAAUGAUCUGACAGAGUUUAUAAAAGAGUGUGCAAAACACUCUGCUCCUGGACCUCAUGUGUUCCUGCUGCUUGUACAGCCUGAAAACUUUACAGAAGAACAAAAUCAGAGACUCUGCAGAGUCCUUCAAGGAUACAGUGAUCAAUCAUUUGAUCAUUCACUGAUACUGAUCUCAGCACCCAGAGAGGAGAGCUCAGGUUCUGUGGAAGACUUCAUGAAAAGUCCAGCAUUAAAUGAAUUGAUAAAAAAAUGUAAAUGCAGAUACUUGAAGAGGAGCAACAUUGAACUUCCAGAGCUGUUAACACAUUUGGGUGAAAUUACAAAGGACAACAAUGGAGAACAUGUGAGCUAUGAAGCUUUUGAGGACACAGAACAGAAUUUAUCAGAAGAUAAA